GAUGAACGCUGGCGGCGUGCCUAAUACAUGCAAGUCGAGCGAACUGAUGAGAAGCUUGCUUCUCUGAUGUUAGCGGCGGACGGGUGAGUAACACGUGGGUAACCUACCUAUAAGACUGGGAUAACUCCGGUAAACCGGGGCUAAUACCGGAUAAUAUUUUGAACCGCAUGGUUUAAUAGUGAAAGACGGUUUCGGCUGUCUCUUAUAGAUGGACCCGGGCCGUAUUAGCUAGUUGGUAAGGUAACGGCUUACCAAGGCGACGAUACGUAGCAGACCUGAAAGGGUGAACGGCCACACUGGAACUGAGACACGGUCCAGACUCCUACGGGAGGCAGCAGUAGGGAAUCUUCCGCAAUGGGCGAAAGCCUGACGGAGCAACGCCGCGUGAGUGAUGAAGGCCUUCGGAUCGUAAAACUCUGUUGUUAGGGAAGAACAAAUUUGUUAGUAACUGAACAAGUCUUGACGGUACCUAACCAGAAAGCCACGGCUAACUACGUGCCAGCAGCCGCGGUAA
rnacentral:rRNA from 1 species